rnacentral:lncRNA from 1 species
ACAGUCCCCAAGCUCUCCUGAAUUCUGCAUUCAUAUAGAUCCAAGAUGCCAAGGGACUGUGAGCCUGGGUCACACAGACAGGAGCUAUCUCCAGCCCUGCAGGUUCUGGAAAACAAGCUCUUUGAAGACCAGUCCUGAUUCUUUCAGGAGAGAAUCUGCUUUCUGGAAACAGCCCUAAGUCCCUGGCAGGAGGACUAGGAAGCCCUCUGGGGUCAAUAUCAAGGAUACAGGGGGACUGUUAGAGAAGGAGAGCCACAUCUUUUUGACCAGCAAAAGGACAGAAAAAAUAUGUCAUGGUAGGGGGCCCAGCAGAGGAUCCCCUUAUCCAAAGUGCAGGACUGAGGUGGUAGUCUAAAAGACUACAGGAAAGCUUCUUUUAGAUAUCCCACUCUGCCACUGGGCCUCAGUGGUCUUAGGAGUCUGACCUCACUUCUGGAGGCUGGUGCUGGCCAAAAUUCCUGCUGAGGAAGGAGGACUAUCUAGAUAUUGCCCAGGCUUGGGGAGACCCUUGGGAUGUUGGAUGCAUUUGAAGGUUUGAGUUCAGAAGAGAGUUCAGGAGGCUGCAGAGAGAAGUUGAGGAACUGUCAAGGCAGAUGCUAUUUGAUGCUUUGGAACUAAAUGGGGUCACCAAAGACCAGCAUAUGCAGAGGAUACAGCUAGAGAGGAAGCUGUUGGUCCCUUCCUCACUCAGGCUUCAUUCCUCUGUGUGUGUGCACAACAAAGAGAAAAAAAAAAGAUAAGGAGCCUUUUCUGCUAUAGGGAAAUUUAACCUGACACUUAAAUGACAAGAAGCUAGCCAUUCCGGAACAGGAGAGAGCAUUUCAGAGGAAACAGCAACUAUGGAUACCCUAUUGGGAAAGAUUGAAGUUGAAUGGUUGGAACGGAGGGAGGGAAAGAAAGGGGGGAGUAAAAGGGACUUGGUGCACAGUGCUCUUUUCUCUCUUUUACCUUGAACUGUCCAGCAGAAGCCAUGUAUUCACAUGGUUCACACAUCAUCAUGAAAGAGCAGGAAGCAAGGUGCUUCACUUCAGGCUGGGCUCUGGCCCAACCCAGUUCUCACCCUCCCCCAACCCAGAGAGAUGCUUUUUAUCACCUCCUGGUUCUCCUUGUUUCUCUAUGCAAAGACAAACUCAUAUAAAUAUAUAAUCUGUCUCUUACCUUUCUAUACAAAAUGUGGCCUGCUUUUAUCUUGCUUGUACCUGGCUACUAGAGUGUCACUUACAACAUAGGUGGAUAGCCUACACCUAUUUCCAUAUCAUGGAGAGCCUCAUCAUUCUUGUCCUCUCCUCCUUUGCUGAGUAUUGAUCCCAGGGCUUUCUUUACAAUAGGCAAGAGAUCUGCCACUGAGCCAAAUCUUCAACCUUUUAUAUUUUUAUUUUGAAACAGGGUCUUGCGAAGUUGCCCAGGCUGGUCUCAAACUUGGGGUCCUCCUCCCUCAGCCUCCUGCAUAGCUGGCAUUACAGGUGUGUACCAGCAUGCCUGAUUUACUUUUUUUUUUAUUUCAUAGUAUCAGGGAUUAUUGAACCCAGGGGUGCUUAACUGAGCCACAUCCUCAGCCCUUUCUUGUAUUUUUAUUUUUUUGUAGUAAUUCUGGGGAUUGAACUCAGGGUCUUGUGCAUGCAAGGCAAGCACUCUACCAACUGAGCUAUAUCCCCAGCCCUCUGUAUUUUAUUUAGAGAUGGUCUUGCAGAGUUAUUUAGGGCCUUGCAAGGUUAUUGAGGCUGGCUUUGAACUCACAAUCCUCCUGCCUCAGCCUCCCCAUGCCUGGUUGACUUUUAAUCUUUAUUUUCAACUUUUUCAACCAAGGAAAAAUUCACAUAGUAUAAAGUUAGCCAUUUAAAAAUGUAUAAUUCAAUGGAAUUUCAAAUAUUCAUCAUGUUGUGCAACUAUCCUAUCUAUCUGCUCCCAGAACAUUUUUGUUACCUCCAAAGGAGAUCCUGUAUCCAUUAAGCUGUCUCUACCCUUCUUCCUCACUACAACCCCUGGCAGCUACUAACCUGUUUUUAUGGAUUUGACUAUUCUGGAACGUUCACAUAAACAGAAUCAUACAAUUGUGAUCUUGUAUGUCUGGCUUAUUUCACUAAGCAUAAUGUUUUGGAGGUUUAUUCAUAUUGUAGCAUGAAUCAGAAUUUCAUUUCUUUUGUUUGUAUGUAUGUGUGGUACUGGGUAUUGAACCCAGGGCAUUGUGCAUACUAGGCAAGAGCCCUAUCUCUGAGCUACACCCCCAGUCACCUUUCUUUUUAUAACUGAACAAUGUUCCAUUGUAUGUAAAGAUCAUAUUUUGCUUAUCCAGUCCUCUGUUGCUGGCCAUUUUGA